CGGUAAGAGAUCAGCUUGUACAGUAUCAGUUAGUUGGUGGGGUAAUGGCUUACCAAGACUAUGACGCUUAACUGGUUUGAGAGGAUGAUCAGUCACACUGGAACUGAGACACGGUCCAGACUCCUACGGGAGGCAGCAGUGGGGAAUAUUGCACAAUGGACGAAAGUCUGAUGCAGCAACGCCGCGUGGAGGAUGACACAUUUCGGUGCGUAAACUCCUUUUAUAUGAGAAGAUAAUGACGGUAUCAUAUGAAUAAGCACCGGCUAACUCCGUGCCAGCAGCCGCGGUAAUACGGGGGGUGCAAGCGUUACUCGGAAUCACUGGGCGUAAAGGGCAUGUAGGCGGAUUGAUAAGUUUGAAGUGAAAUCCUAUAGCUUAACUAUAGAACUGCUUUGAAAACUGUUAAUCUAGAAUGUGGGAGAGGUAGAUGGAAUUUCUGGUGUAGGGGUAAAAUCCGUAGAGAUCAGAAGGAAUACCGAUUGCGAAGGCGAUCUACUGGAACACUAUUGACGCUGAGAUGCGAAAGCGUGGGGAGCAAACGGGAUUAGAUACCCCGGUAGUCCACGCCCUAAACGAUGCACACUAGUUGUUGUGAGGCUAGACCUUGCAGUAAUGCAGUUAACACAUUAA
rnacentral:rRNA from 1 species